rnacentral:rRNA from 1 species
CCUACGGGGGGCAGCAGUGGGGAAUAUUGCGCAAUGGGGGGAACCCUGACGCAGCAACGCCGCGUGAAGGAAGAAGGUCUUCGGAUUGUAAACUUCUUUGAUGAGGGACGAACAAAAUGACGGUACCUCAAAAACAAGCCACGGCUAACUACGUGCCAGCAGCCGCGGUAAUACGUAGGUGGCGAGCGUUGUCCGGAAUUACUGGGUGUAAAGGGCGUGUAGGCGGGGAUGCAAGUCAGAUGUGAAAUACCGAGGCUUAACCUCGGGGCUGCAUCUGAAACUGUG